CCUACGGGUGGCAGCAGUAGGGAAUAUUGCUCAAUGGGGGAAACCCUGAAGCAGCAACGCCGCGUGGAGGAUGAAGGUUUUCGGAUUGUAAACUCCUUUUGUCAGAGAAGAUAAUGACGGUAUCCAACGAAUAAGCACCGGCUAACUCCGUGCCAGCAGCCGCGGUAAUACGGAGGGUGCAAGCGUUACUCGGAAUCACUGGGGGUAAAGAGCGCGUAGGCGGGGUAGCAAGUCAGAUGUGAAAUCCUAUGGCUUAACCAUAGAACUGCAUUUGAAACUGGUAUUCUAGAGUAUGGGAGAGGUAGGUGGAAUUCUUGGUGUAGGGGUAAAAUCCGUAGAGAUCAAGAGGAAUACUCAUUGCGAAGGCGGCCUGCUGGAACAUAACUGACGCUGAUGCGCGAAAGCGUGGGGAGCAAACAGGAUUAGAUACCCGAGUAGUC
rnacentral:rRNA from 1 species